rnacentral:rRNA from 1 species
CCUACGGGCGGCAGCAGUGGGGAAUAUUGCACAAUGGGGGAAACCCUGAUGCAGCGACGCCGCGUGAGUGAAGAAGUAAUUCGGUACGUAAAGCUCUAUCAGCAGGGAAGAAACACGGACCUUACGGUCAGCAGACGGUAACUGAGUAAGAAGCCCGGGCUAACGACGUGCCAGCAGCCGCGGUAAUACGGAGGGGGCAAGCGUUCUCCGGAGUUACUGGGUGGAAAGGGAGCGUAGACGGUGCGCCAAGUCUGGAGUGAAAUGCCGCAGCUUAACUUCGGAACUGCUUUGGUAACUGGCGACCUUGAGUGCGGUAGGGUUAAGCGGAAUUCCUGGUGUAGCGGU